CUCUUCUCCUCAAACUCUUGCAGCAGCUCGUCGAUCUCGUUCUCCAUGUCUUCUGUGUGCUGAAUCUGGCAAGAACAGCAAAGCCGCAUUUUCUCCUGUAUGCCGGCCGGAUCAUGGCACAACAGCUGGAGCCCUGGCAGCUGCACUGGACUGCAGACAUCUUGGGAACAGAUGUGCUGGGUUGAGCAACCAGGGAGCAAGAACCUGGUUCCCACAUAGCCAACUUCUCCAUGAGCCCAGGCCUGCUCAUCUCUCAGCUUCUUGAACACACCAAACUUCUCCCUUGGUUAAGCCAUUGUUUUUGUUUUCUGUCACUCACAGCCAGCUGAUCUAAACAUGGAGCCCAAGGGCAGAAGGACAAGG